CCCAAUCCCAUCUCCAUCGGCAGCGCAACGCCACCUCCUGCCCUGCCCUCACCGCGCGCCGCCGGACACACCCCGCCGCCGAGCGCCACCACCGUCUACCCUCCUCCCAUCGGGAUGCCCUCAAUCCAAAAAUCCAUCCACCCAGUCCUCUCCUCGAUUUCCAAAUCGAGCCUACCGGCAGCCUCCCUGCGCAGCUGUGCCCCCGCGCCUCUGCCUCACCGAGCGCCCGACCCGGCCGUCGUUCGUCGCCAACACCCGCGGAUCCGGCCGCCCCUCACCCUCACUAUGGGUUGCACCUCCCAGCGCCGCCGCCCCUGCCUAGCUCCGCCGCUGGAGGAUGAAAUUCUGUCAAUGUCCACUGUCUUCAAGUAAUACUUUUUUUAGUAUCCAAGGAAAAUUCUUGAGAUGACGGAAAUGAAUUGUACUCUCAAGAAAAGGUGGAAUACGAAUUGGAUGGAAAGCUAGAGCUACAGCAGGCAGAGCAUAGUGGAGGGUCCGCUUCUACCUCACAUGACCUCUCCACCGCAUCAUAUAUGUUUUGCGGCUCCGUGGCUCCAUUAAUUGCAGUAAGGUGCUUGUGCCAUCCAUGUCUGAUUUGUGCAGCCAUCAUCUGUAGCAUUGGCUGGAGCCGUCAUCCGAAACAGUUUCACUGAUUCUCAGGCAAGCAACGUGAUUUUUCCAUGUGUUGAUUCAAUCUGGAAAAGUCAAGAUCACAAAUGCUCUUAGGAUUGAUUAAUGAAUUGAGUUACAGGAGUAUUGGCUGUCCAGACAUUUUUAGGGACCUUCUAGAAUUAAGAUUUGACACGAAACAAAUUGUUUUCUACGUUAUACUGUCAUUGCUAACGUUGUUGAUCUCGAGCUGCAUCCUCCAUAAUAGUGACUUCAAAUCUGAGGCUGGCUAGAAGAACAUAUCUCUAUCAGCGCCGUUACCCCUCUGGAACAUUGUCAUGCUAGCCACCUGACACUCGGCAUAUCCUCUCCCUCGUGGCAUCCAGCUUUGCUGUAGGGACCAAAAGGUGCUCCAUCACCGGAUUCAUCAUAUUGGAAUCCUCUCUUCUUGUGUGGUUUAGUCAACUUUGUUUUCCUGUAUGGUACAGUUGGGGUCUAGAUCGAAGUCGGCUGAGCUAUUGGGUGGCUCUGAAGAUGUGUUUGUGUUAGAGAUUAGUUUACAUGCAAAGUAAGUUCUUUAAGAAAAGUAUUACUGCGCACCACUCCAAUUUGUUCCUUGAACUGAUAAGAUCUGGUCCAGUAGUACUGCUGCAAAUCCGAGGCAAGACGUUCUGCAUGUUUCUAUUGUCCUGCACAAUAAGCAAGCACAUACACUUCAAAUCAUCCGUUCUCUUGUUCCCCAAAAUAAAUUCAUUCGUUCUAACCAUUAGCCAUAUAAUUGUACAGAUAGACCAUAUAAAUGGGAUUCUUUCUGUAAAUAGAAAUCAACCUGAUUUGAUUAUGUUUCAUGUCCAUAAUAGUUUUCUCUUGGUAGAAAAAACAUAAACAUGUACAUACAGAUUAUAUUUCUGCUCAUUGCAAGAGGAUAUGAGGAUUUCUACUAUUAUACUGACAGAAUGAUAGCAUCACCUCAAGCAUGUAACCGUGGGAGUUAGACUUUCACUAAUGAUUUGGUAAGCUGUCUAUACUGCCUCGAGGGGGGAAGUUUUUAUCACUGCUUUUUGGUUGUAUUUAUGUAAGAGGCAUGGAGGGAGCUGGAACUAAUUUGUGAUUUCUCCUGGACAUUUUUUUCUUCUAAAAAGAGCAAGUUUCCCGGUGAUCAAACAUUGUACAUCAGAAAUGUUCUUCAUCGAUGCCCAUCCCAAUUGCUAACAAUUCUUUUGCACUCUCAGGUUGCCAAAUAUACUACGAAGGAACUAUAGCAAGUGAAUUGUUGAGUUUGCCAAGCAUAAUGGCACACCUAAUUUUGGCAGAUCAUAUAAAGAGGAUAUCGAGCAAAGAUGCUUUGAGAUUUACCCAUGACUAUAUGCCGUUCCUAUAAACUCCUGUUGCAUGUUUAAUGAUUGCCACAAUAGUUUCUUUUAAUGCACCAGAGAAUUAUAUUUUUGUAUCAGGUAAAUAAUUCUUUUCUCACUGUUAUUUUUCCAGAUCAAGAUCGAGAUAUAGACAAGGGGUAAUGGCAGCUCGUGCAGUGGCAGAGUGCUGGGGAGGCUGCCGGUGUCGUUGCCGAGUGCUGGGGAGGCUGCUGGUGCCAUGGCCGAGCGAUGGGGCGAGCUGCCGUGGUGGAUGUGGGAGAGCGACCAGUAAGGCAAGACAGAGUUGUGUUGUUGGUUAGGUCCAUGGCAAAGUUCCACGAGAUGGUAUCAGAUUUAUUGGAGGAUAUACAUGAUGACUGCGGCUGAGAAUAAUAUUGCUACUCCUGCAAUUUUGUAUCAUGUGUGAGAGGAUAGAACAGAGAGAAGGAAUAUGAGGCAAUUUUGUUUGCUAUAUGCUUUGUGUGUCGAUGCUUUUGUACGGAGAGAGACACUUCAUGUGAUGUUGCUAUGUGGCCUUCUAUGCUCUGAUGUGUGCUAACUUUGUACAAGGGACAUUCAUAUAUUGGAAUUCAGAUUUGGAGCAAGUUUGUUUGUUUUGCUUUGUA